UACACACCGCCCGUCACACCACGAAAGCUGUCUGUACCCGAAGCUAUCUUAGCCAACCCGCAAGGGAGGCGGAUACCUAAGGUAUGGGGAGUGAUUGGGGUG
rnacentral:rRNA from 1 species